rnacentral:rRNA from 1 species
AACGAACGCUGGCGGCAUGCCUAACACAUGCAAGUCGAACGAGACCUUCGGGUCUAGUGGCGCACGGGUGCGUAACGCGUGGGAACCUGCCCUUAGGUUCGGAAUAACUCCCCGAAAGGGGUGCUAAUACCGGAUAAUGUCUUCGGACCAAAGAUUUAUCGCCUUUGGAUGGGCCCGCGUUGGAUUAGCUAGUUGGUAGGGUAAAAGCCUACCAAGGCGACGAUACAUAGCUGGUCUGAGAGGAUGAUCAGCCACACUGGGACUGAGACACGGCCCAGACUCCUACGGGAGGCAGCAGUGGGGAAUAUUGGACAAUGGGCGAAAGCCUGAUCCAGCAAUGACGCGUGAGUGAUGAAGGCCUUAGGGUUGUAAAGCUCUUUUACCCGUGAUGAUAAUGACAGUACCGGGAGAAUAAGCUCCGGCUAACUCCGUG